rnacentral:rRNA from 1 species
GACGAACGCUGGCGGCGUGCUUAACACAUGCAAGUCGAACGAUGAACUUGGAGCUUGCUCUGGGGGAUUAGUGGCGAACGGGUGAGUAACACGUGAGUAACCUGCCCUGGACUCUGGGAUAACUUCGAGAAAUCGGAGCUAAUACCGGAUAGGACCUUGCACCGCAUGGUGUGGGGUGGAAAGUUUUUCGGUUUGGGAUGGACUCGCGGCCUAUCAGCUUGUUGGUGAGGUAAUGGCUCACCAAGGCGUCGACGGGUAGCCGGCCUGAGAGGGUGACCGGCCACACUGGGACUGAGACACGGCCCAGACUCCUACGGGAGGCAGCUAUUGCACAAUGGGCGCAAGCCUGAUGCAGCAACGCCGCGUGCGGGAUGACGGCCUUCGGGUUGUAAACCGCUUUUAGUAGGGAAGAAGCCUUCGGGUGACGGUACCUGCAGAAAAAGGACCGGCUAACUACGUGCCAGCAGCCGCCGUAAAAC